rnacentral:rRNA from 1 species
GACGAACGCUGGCGGCGCGCCUAACACAUGCAAGUCGAGCGAUGAAAUUUUAACCGAUCUCUUCGGAGAGAAGAUAAAAUGGAUUAGCGGCGGACGGGUUAGUAACACGUGAGAAACCUGCCUUUCACAAGGGGAUAGCCUCGGGAAACCGGGAUUAAUACCCUAUGACACAUUUCCUUCGCAUGGAAGAAAUGUUAAAACUCCGGUGGUGAAAGAUGGUCUCGCGCCUGAUUAGCUAGUUGGUGGGGUAACGGCCCACCAAGGCCAUGAUCAGUAACCGGCCUGAGAGGGUGAACGGUCACAUUGGAACUGAGACACGGUCCAAACUCCUACGGGAAGCAGCAGUGGGGAAUAUUGCACAAUGGAGGAAACUCUGAUGCAGCGACGCCGCGUGAGCGAUGAAGGCUUUCGAGUCGUAAAGCUCUGUCCUAUGGGAAGAUAAUGACGGUACCAUAGGAGGAAGCCCCGGCUAACUACGUG